UGCAGGGGCACAUUCGGGGUGGGCGGGGCCCACGGGGGAGGUCUCAUGUUCGAGACUCCUCACUGGGGGUGAUUAAUGCGCAUUUCACACCGGGCUCGAGUGGGGUAGCCUGUGGGAUGGGGGGACACACUCGGGGUGAGCGGCCCAUGUGAGGCGGUACCCAUGUGAUUUGGGGCCCACAAGGGGGAUUCGGCCGAGGUCCUAACCUAUGAUAUGUGGGGCCUGGGCUAUGAGGUAAAUGGAUUAAUUCGCCAUGCUCUAACAGUUCGAGCUUUUAUAGCGAGUGGUUAAUUAUCCUGCAUCACUAAUGGUUUUCUAUUUUGAGAGAUUUGUGUUUUAGAAGAUCUUUAGGAGUAUAGGACAUGGUUUUAAACAUUAUCCGAUAAGACUUUGGUAUGGUUUGAGUCGUAUCGGUUUUGGUCUGAACUGAUAGGAUUCACCAAAUCGAUAUGGGUUCCUAAACGGGACUGAGUUGGGGCGAAUCGUUUUAGUUUCGGUCCCUAGACAAGUCACCCCUUGAAACCAAUACUUAAUCCAUGAUAGGACAUCAAUGUCUUGGGGGAUCUUUAAUAAGUUAUAUUAAUAUUUUGAGGGAUCCUUAAUCGGAUAAGAAAGAGAGGUAAUAGGAGAAUAAAAGGACGGCGGAGACUCAGGUCAAUAUGUGUGUAGUAUUUUGAUGUUCGUUUCUUACUUAGAAUGAUUGAGUUUUUCAUGUCUUUGUAGAUGUCAUAUGGUAAUGAGAUUGGAAUAAGAAAACGUGAGAUUAAGGAGAACGAGUUCUCUUGCAAAGGGAGAAAACCAUAAAAAUCAACCUCCUUGAGUUGUGUGGUUUGUGCAAAAAUUCAUUCUCUUCUUUCUUUUUUCUAAUGUGCAUCCUACGUCCUUGUACAGUUGUACCACAUUUGAGGUCCUGGAUCUGGGUGGGUUUGGGUAUCUAUUGGGUACCCAUCAGGUCUUAGGUCUAUAGUUUCAGGUCGGGUUUCAGUCUUAUUCUGACUCAGAUAAGGGCAUCUAUGAAGUCUGGAUGGAUUGGAUCUCACACAUGUGCUGCAUCAACAUAUGCAUGAGGGACCUGACGCUGCUUGAUUUUUUAACUGGAUCUAAGAUGGUGGACCUGAAGCCUACCCGAUUUUUUUUAUAAAAAACAGGUACGGAAAUUAGACCUGGACUUGUUUAAAUCAGGUCAGGUACCUCAUGUACCUGCCGAUCUGGGUACUCGUUGACAACCCUAUUAUACCUGAGAUGCAUCCUAGUUGUAGAAGUAGUCCAGUUGGAGACCCGAAUGUCCAUUUUGCUCUCAAUAGAAUUUGUUUAACAUUGAAAAGACAAAGUGUUAAUCGUCCAUCGAAGAACCUUGAUUAGUGUUUUCAUAUGCGAUGAUAUAAGCGAUUAUGCCAUUGCAAAUGCCCUUUUGAGCCAGGGGAUUGCAUAUGCCUUAUUAUGUCGUUGGGGCUUAUGCACUCGCAAAGAGAAGUAUGCGGUCGCAUAAGCCAUUAUUAUGCAAUUAUGCCAUGUACACAAUAUUUGAUGGUAUAACCUCCCAAUGGUUAGGAUUUUUAACCAUUGGGACUUUUUUUUUUUUUUUUUUUUUUUUUUGGUUUCAUUUUCUGUCACUUUUUGGCUAUAAAUAGGCAUACCCACUCCCCUAUUUUCACACACAGACACACACACACGCUCUCUCUCUCUCUCUCUCUCUCUCUUAAAAUGACAUCAAUAAAAUUUAUUUGCUGUUUUUUUCACAUUUUUUAGUAUGCGCAGUCAUUUGAGCAGUUGUUAGUUGACUUGUUAUAGUCUAAUCAAACUAUAAAAAACAAUUUCCUUUAUCUUAAAAAAAAAUAAAUUCCCAUCACCUGUAAUAUUUUUACAUAAAAUUUCACAAAAUUUCUUUUACUUCUUCCUUUUUUUUUUUUUUUCAUUUUCCCUUGAAAUUUCCAUUUUUUAAUUAAAAAAAAGUUUGGGGGGCUGUGCUGUUUCACAAGUGCCCAACCCCCUUGGGUCACACAGGAUCCCUUAUGCCGUUUGACAACAUUGCCCAUGAUGAUGGUUAACAUUGUCCAAUCACCUGGAAUUUUCAGCCAUAGCCUACUAACUCAUUGGUUUUGAAAUCUGAAUACUAUAAAAGUGCCACAUUUAUGGGGGAUGUUUGGUGUGCCCUUCAUGGAACUCCAUAAAGUCUGUGAGUCAUAUCAGUAGUCCUCUUCUUUUACAGGUGGGUCAUGUAUCAUGUUGCCGCAUGAUUUUUGUAGCAGAAUGCUUGAGUUGAUGAAAUAUAAGAUGAAUAGAACUGUUUUUUAAAUGCUUUCUGAGCUGAGCUGACUUGGCAAGGGGCAGGGUCAACCUGAAUUGGUGUCAAGAUUUACAUAUACGACUCAGAUCUGUACAAUAAUCUGCUGAUUGCUCUUAAACUCUUCCUGAAUUUUACAUCGAUUUGGUGGACCAGCUUAUGUGUGCAACUCAGAUGCAUUUUUUAGAGUUCUUGAUUGACAAAGAAGUACUAAGUGUGGAUUUGAGCGCCCACCUAUGAGUCAUGUUAAGGUUCCUUGCUGCUAAAACAUACACAUCUCAUGUGCAGAGGUUGUCUCCUUCGUAUAAAUAUUGGAAAGGCUCAUCAUGUGCACUGCGUUUUAUUCACGCUCUUAGUGUGUUUUGGGCAUGCCACAUGAAUGGUUUGAUCAUCGAUAAGGACUGUUAAUUACGUUCCCCUCAUGUUUUGUGAGACACCAUGAAAAACUCGUACUGAUUAGAGAAUGCUAACCUUGCAAAUAUGGCCUCUCUUUUUGUAACCAUGGGUUUUCAAAGCCACAAAUGGGAUGAUUAUGCUCAUUUGAUCAGAAUGGUUCUUUGGAGAUGUGCUAUCGAAAGUGGAAUCUAUUGGAUGAGUAGAUUAUUCAUAUUGGUUAUUGGGCCUUCUUUGAUCCAAUCUGACCAUUAUUGUAUUACAUUAAUUAGAUUGCAAAGUUCCUCUAAUAUGAGUUAUCCUGGACCAUACAUAUAGAUUAAAAAUGCAUGCAAGACAUAAGAUGUUUCAUCAAUGAUUGGACCAAUCAAAUUGUCUAGAUUUUCUUGGUGGGGGAUAUGGAUCAAAUCAGUGGUUUUUUUCUUUUUUGUUGAAAGACGAAUUCAUUAAAAGAAACAAGAGGAAACAAAGAAAAAAACAGAA